rnacentral:rRNA from 1 species
UACGUAGGCAGCGAGCGUUGUUCGGAGUUAUUGGGCGUAAAGGGCGCGUAGGCGGUUUCUUAAGUUUGAAGUGACAGUGGGUGGCUUAACUACCCAAGGCCUUUGAAAACUGGGGAACUUGAGGACCAGAGAGGGACAUAGAAUUCCGGGUGGAGUGGUGAAAUGCGUAGAUAUCCGGAGGAAUACCAAAGGCGAAGGCAGUGUCCUGGAGGGUUAACUGACGCUGAGGCGCGAAAGCUAGGGGAGCGAACAGG